rnacentral:lncRNA from 1 species
CCUCCCGGGCCACAGGGGCCCCCAGGGCCCCCAGGGAUCCCCGGAGCCAAGGGCGAGCUGGGAUUGCCUGGGGCCCCGGGAAUCGAUGGAGAGAAGGGUCCCAAAGGAGCUAAAGGAGACCCAGGAGAGGCUGGGCCGACGGGACCCAAAGGGGAGGCGGGCGAGAUGGGCCUGUCGGGCCUCCCGGGCACCGACGGCCCUAAGGGGGAGAAGGGAGAGUCGGCAUCUGACAGCCUACGGGAGAGCCUGGCCCAGAUCAUAGUGGCGCCGGGGCCCCCCGGCCCCCCUGGUCCCCCAGGCCCCACGGUAAGAACAUUUGGCAUGAAGU